rnacentral:rRNA from 1 species
UGGGGAAUAUUGGGGCAAUGGGGCGAAAGCCUGACCCAGCAACGCCGCGUGAAGGAAGAAGGUCUUCGGAUUGUAAACUUCUUUUAUGAGGGACGAAGGACGUGACGGUACCUCAUGAAUAAGCCACGGCUAACUACGUGCCAGCAGCCGCGGUAAUACGUAGGUGGCAAGCGUUAUCCGGAUUUACUGGGUGUAAAGGGCGCGUAGGCGGGGAUGCAAGUCAGAUGUGAAAUCUAUGGGCUUAACCCAUAAACUGCAUUUGAAACUGUAUCUCUUGAGUGCUGGAGGGGCAAUCGGAAUUCCUAGUGUAGCGGUGAAAUGCGUAGAUAUUAGGAGGAACACCAGUGGCGAAGGCGGAUUGCUGGACAGUAACUGACGGUGAGGCGCGAAAGUGUGGGGAGCAAACAGGAUUAGAUACCCUGGUAGU